rnacentral:antisense_RNA from 1 species
AUCAAUGGUGGCUCAGAUCGGGCAGCUUUAGGGCUGGCCGAGGAGUAGUGUGUAGCGGUUGUGAGAUCCCGAUUUGGGUCACCGCCAUU